rnacentral:misc_RNA from 1 species
GAUGAAGAACGCAGUGAAAUGCGAUACGUAAUGUGAAUUGCAGAAUUCAGUGAAUCAUCGAGUCUUUGAACGCACAUUGCGCCCCCUGGUAUUCCGGGGGGCAUGCCUGUCCGAGCGUCAUUGCUGCCCUCAAGCACGGCUUGUGUGUUGGGCCCCCGCCCCCCGGUUCCCGGGGGGCGGGCCCGAAAGGCAGCGGCGGCACCGCGUCCGGUCCUCGAGCGUAUGGGGCUUCGUCACCCGCUCCGUAGGCCCGGCCGGCGCCCGCCGGCGACCCCCCCUCAAUCUUUCCAGGUUGACCUCGGAUCAGGUAGGGAUACCCGCUGAACUUAAGCAUAUCAAAACGGAGGA